UACGUAGGUGGCAAGCGUUGUCCGGAAUUACUGGGUGUAAAGGGAGCGUAGGCGGGAAGGCAAGUCAGAUGUGAAAUCCACAGGCUUAACCUGUGGCGUGCAUUUGAAACUGUUUUUCUUGAGUGAAGUAGAGGCAGGCGGAAUUCCGAGUGUAGCGGUGAAAUGCGUAGAUAUUCGGAGGAACACCAGUGGCGAAGGCGGCCUGCUGGGCUUUUACUGACGCUGAUGCUCGAAAGCAUGGGUAGCAA
rnacentral:rRNA from 1 species